rnacentral:rRNA from 1 species
GAUGAACGCUGGCGGCGUGCCUAAUACAUGCAAGUCGAGCGAACGGACGAGAAGCUUGCUUUUCUGAUGUUAGCGGCGGACGGGUGAGUAACACGUGGAUAACCUACCUAUAAGACUGGGAUAACUUCGGGAAACCGGAGCUAAUACCGGAUAAUAUUUUGAACCGCAUGGUUCAAAAGUGAAAGACGGUCUUGCUGUCACUUAUAGAUGGAUCCGCGCUGCAUUAGCUAGUUGGUAAGGUAACGGCUUACCAAGGCAACGAUGCAUAGCCGACCUGAGAGGAUGGUGAGCGACACGGGAACUGAGAGAGGGUGCGGAGUCCGAGGGGGGGCAGCAGGGGGGACUAUUGGAGAAUGGGCGAGAGCUGGAACAAGCAGUACCGGGAGGGUGCAGAAGGGCUUAGGGUUGUAAAGCACUUGUGGUGGGAAAGAAAAGAAGCAGGGUAAGACCCAGGUGUUCUGAGGGUACCCAAAGAAUAAGCAAAGGCUAACGUCGUG